AUUAACGCUGGCGGUGUGCAUAACACAUGCAAGUCAAACGGAUGUAGCAAUACAUUAGUGGCAAACGGGUGCGUAACACGUUGGAACCUCCCUCGAAGUGUGGGAUAACCAGUCGAAAGAUUGGCUAAUACCACAUAGUCCCGCAAGGGUAAAGCUUAAUGCGCUUCGAGAAGGGCCUGCGGCCUAUCAGCUUGUUGGCGGUGUAAAAGACCACCAAGGCUAUGACGGGUAGCUGGAUUGAGAGAUCGACCAGCCACAGGGGAACUGAGACACGGUCCCCACUCCUACGGGAGGCAGCAGUGAGGAAUCUUCCGCAAUGGGCGAAAGCCUGACGGAGCAACACCGCGUGAAGGAUGAAGUCCUUUGGGAUGUAAACUUCUUUUCUGGGGGAAGAAUUCUGACGGUACCCCAGGAAUAAGUGACGGCAAACUCUGU
rnacentral:rRNA from 1 species